UACGUAGGGUGCAAGCGUUGUCCGGAAUUAUUGGGCGUAAAGAGCUCGUAGGCGGUUCGUCGCGUCGGCUGUGAAAUCCCGAGGCUCAACCUCGGGUCUGCAGUCGAUACGGGCAGGCUAGAGUUCGGCAGGGGAGACUGGAAUUCCUGGUGUAGCGGUGAAAUGCGCAGAUAUCAGGAGGAACACCGGUGGCGAAGGCGGGUCUCUGGGCCGAUACUGACACUGAGGAGCGAAAGCGUGGGGAGCGAACAGG
rnacentral:rRNA from 1 species